UACAUCAAAUUUUACAGCCACAUCUUCCCCCUCUUCUCUUUCCACCUCUCCUAAAUCCCUAAAACAUUCAUUCUUUUCCUAAGUCGCCAGACCUAGUCAUUGCCUCUUCCUUCAAAUCGUUGCAACUCGCUCGCCGCCGUUUUCGCCUCCAGCCAUCAGGUAUUUUCGUUUCUCUGGUUUUAUUUUUCAUUAUUUUUCUCUUCAAUCGGAUGUGCCAGGUUGAUGACGCAAAGAGGGAAAUCUAGCUCGCCAUCGGCCGCCAAGCUCGAGGACGGCUGCAAUGACGUGAACCUCGGUGAACAACAUCGGAGAGAGAAGCUUCGACGACCUUGAACAACGGCAAAGAGGACGUGGAUGACGGCUUGUGUUCUGUUUGUCUCUCUUAUUUCAUGCCCUUUCCUUAUUCUUGGUGUUUAAAUACCCUUCAAUUUCUUAUACUCUAAAUAUAACUGCGGAUUCCAAAAAUCCAUUUUUGAUUUCCCUUUUAAGAUAUAAAGGAUGAUUCUUGUUGUCAAUGUAUUAUGAUAUUUCUGCACAUUUGUUGUUGAUUUCAAUAUUUUUUGGGAUAGUUUGGCUUCUAUUUGUCCUUAACGAAGGUGCAUUUUAAAAUACUUGUCAUCUUUUAUUUAUUUUUGUUGUAUUUCAUUCAAGAUGGUUGUUUUUUAUUGAGGAAGAAGCUAAUUGGUGGCAGUUUUUUGAUUGAGGAAGAAGCUUGAUCAGGAUAGUGUUUUGAUCUCAUUUUGUUUUCCAUAUUAUUUUUCACAUAUCAAAAUUCUGAAGUUCUGGAUCCUAAAUAUGAUGAAUCACUGAAUACACAUACAGAAGUGUCCAUGUAAGAAGACUUGGAAUAUGGUAUGUGUUAAUCUAAUCUCUUAGGCUUCCUCCAACAUCCCUCAGUGUAAGUUCAUUUGGUCAUCAUCUUAUGCUUCUUUACUAUAAAUCUAAUUGAAGCAGCCCAUAGCUAAAAAUAGAUAAUAAUCUGAUGAUGUUUUUAGUGAUUCAUUUAUGCUUCUUCUUUAUGAUUAUAUUAUGUGUGUCUGUAGUCAUUUAGAUUAUUUGAUAAUGAAGGUUGACCAGUUCUUGUAUAUUCUACAAAUGCUGGUGUUGCUCUAGCUGGUCUGUUAGGGACUGUUAGAGCGCAGGGUUGACCAUUAACUGAUUUUGCCAAUCAAAAAAUAGUUGUGGUUGGAGCCGGAAGGUAGGUUAAAAUACAAGUACUAAAAUGUAUUCCCUUGUUCAUAUGAUCUAUGUUUUCAAUGGAAGCCUCAUGCUACAUUUUCUUAUUUUGUCCUUCUUUCUCUUGAUUCAGUGCAGGGCUUGCUGUUCUGAACAUGGCAAUGUAGGAUGUUUCGAGAAUGUCAGGGCCAUCAGCAAAUCCCCACUUUCUUGUUUUGGAUAAGAACGGUCUUAUCACAGAAGAGAGGCAGGACCUUGAUCCAGCUGUUUUUCCUUUUGCUAAAGCGGCCCAGCAUGAGAUCAAGAGCAUAGGACUUCAUGAAGGUGCAAGUCUUGCUGAAGUGUUGAAAGACAGUCUUGUGAUUUUGAAGCUGGAAGUGAUACGAUAAUUGAUAAGCAGGGGUUUGACUGUUUGACUGCACCACUGUUCUUGCAAGACUUGAGGCAAAAUUAGUUCAAAUGCAAAAGACUUGAGGCAAAAUAACCCGUAAAUACAUUACUAUGACUAUUUGUUA